ACGGUCUUUACAAGCGACUCGUGGGCGUCAAUACUGGGCUGAGUUUGUGGCGCGCUUAGUGAUGGGAUGGCCCUGUGCAGGACGCCGACACGAAAAGAUGAAGAGUUCAAUCCGUGCUGUCUGAACUCACAGUGUAGCAGGCGAGAUAGACGGGAAGAUCGGUAGGGUGGGAGAUGCCGGAAAGGCUUCCCGUGAGACUGGAUAAGAAAUCAAAAAUCUGGUGAAAUUGCCGGCAAGAGGGAGUUAAGGACAUUCCAGGCAGAGGCAAGAUGAAGCCAGAUACUCCUCUAUGAAGUUAAAUGACUGGUUCAGUGUUAACACUGCUAGUGAGCGACAGAGAUGGAAUUUGAACGCACACCUGUCUGACUCCACCUCGUGUUCCUUCCACAUGGCCAGCAAGCUCUGCUGUCCCACCUCGCACUUCUGGGAGGUGGCUACUCCCUCUUUCCACCCCCUUUUCUGGAUCUUGACAAGGGAUUCUACCCUGCCCCAGCUGUCAAAGCCUGCAGCAGCUGCCAAAAAACCUCAACACAGGCAUACUUUGGACCUACAUCAUGUGUUGAUGUCACAGAUGCUGUACCAGGCAUUUGACUCCUUGAUCUAAAGCCAGGAUUCCUAGCCAACAUGGCGAAACCCUGUCUCUACUAAAAAUAACAAAAAUUAGCUGGGCAUGGUGAUAGGCACCUGUAAUCCCAGCUACUUGGGAGGCUGAGGCAGGAGAAUUACUUGAACCCAGGAAGCGAAGGCUGCAGUGAGCAGAGAUUGUGCCUCUGCACUACAGCCUGGGCUAUGGAGUAAGACUCUGUCUCAAAAAAAAAAAAAAAAAAAAAAUAGUGAGGGGGAUGCAUGCCCACACAAAGGAAUCCUGAUAGAGGAACAAUGGCUUGGUCCGUUUCCCCUCCUGUGUAGCACUGUGAUAAAGGAAAGCCUUUCAGAUUCCUAAGAUGAGGACACAGCAUCCUGGGCCACUGUCACUAAUACAAAUUUGCCUCUGGAGGGACUCUACGGAAGAUAAUUCCCCUGAAAUUUGGAGAGUUGAAUUAAGCUAGGACUGAUUCUGGCUGGAAUUUGUGGUGGCUACGUACCCUAGAGGGCCUCAAGGAAACCCACGGUUCAAGACAGCCCUGACAGAUUCUGGAGUCUAGAACAGAAAUGGAUUUGAACAUGGGCAAGGCCAACCACCCAGUUCACGGCCUGUGUACAGCAAAGAUUACGUUACAGCCUGAGAGCUAAGCCUGGAAGCUCUUUCAUCCAUCCGUUUGUCCAUCUAUCCAUCCAUCUGCUCAUCCAUCCCUCCAUCUGCUCAACAAACGUUAGAGAAUCAAUCCUUGUGUCAGAUACUGGGGCUGCCCUCAAGGAGCUUUUAUAGAGUUCAGGGUACAGCCAGGUGGGGGAGACAGAUCACUAUAAAAACCUACCACUAUAAUCCAAAGGACAAGAGCAAAAAUAGUAAAGAGGAGAGAAGACCCAAAUUUGCCUGGUGGGUCAGAGAGGGCUUUCUAGAAGAGGUAAAAAAUCUUCGGGGCUAUCACUUCACCUUGCCUGGUGGAUAAAGGGAGGACUUUCCAGAUACAGUGGACAGAAUGUGCAGAGGCAGGAGCCAUGAGUGGCAGAGGCAGGGGAGGGACUGCAGAGACAGGUUGGAGCCAAAGCACGUGGCACUGGAGCCAUAGCCAAAGGAACAAACUGUGAGACCUGGGACUUGAAUUUGGAGGUGGUGAAAAGUGACAAGGUCUUCACAGAAGAGUGAUUUUUUCAACUUAGGGAAGGCUGACCCCAGACCAAUGCUGCCAAAGUGUGGUCUGUGGGCUGUUAGCAGUUCGUGACGAUGUAAGUACAGGAAUUGAGAUUAAGCAUUUAGAACACCUACAGCACUUUGAUAGUCAUUUUACUUUUUAAAUUUUGAGCUGGCAUUUUAUAUGCCUGGUUUUUUUUUGUUUUUGUUUUUUUAUUUUUUUUGAGACAGUCUCGCUCUGUCGCCCAGGCUGGAGUGCAGUGGCGCGAUCUCUGCUCACUGCAAGCUCCGCCUCCCGGGUUCACGCCAUUCUCCUGCCUCAUCCUCCCAAGUAGCUGGGACUGCAGGCGCCUGCCGCCUCGCCCAGCUAAUUUUUUGUAUUUUUAAUAGAGACGGGGUUUCACCAUGUUAGCCAGGAUGGUCUCAAUCUCCUGAUCUCGUGAUCUGCCCGCCUUGGCCUCCCAAAAUGCUGGGAUUACAGGUGUGAGCCACCACGCCCAGCCUUAUUCUCUUUUUCUAAUAGUUGCACUUUAUCAUAUUUUACAAAUGUGUGAGUCUGCUAUGGAUUAGAAAUUAAUAAGAGAUUUUGCCACAGAUAGUUUGAGAAGCCCAGCACUGCCACUCAACAAAUGCUGGUGCAUUCAGAUGGUGAAAUAUUCUGCAGCUAUUAAAGGAGUUAAAACUGCCUCCACUUACCUGGAGGCCCAUCUGUGACACCUUUUUAGGUU
ensembl:lncRNA CKMT2-AS1 CKMT2 antisense RNA 1